rnacentral:rRNA from 1 species
GGCCUACGGGGCGCAGCAGUGGGGAAUAUUGCACAAUGGAGGGAACCCUGAUGCAGCAAUGCCGCGUGGGUGAAGAAGCACUCCGGUGCGUAAAGCCCUGUCAGCAGGGAAGAAAAUGACAGUACCUGGACAAGAAGCCCCGGCUAACUACGUGCCAGCAGCCGCGGUAAUACGUAGGUGGCGAGCGUUAUCCGGAAUGAUUGGGCGUAAAGGGUGCGUAGGCGGCCUGCUAAGUCUGGAGUGAAAGGUACCGGCUCAACCGGUACAGGCUCUGGAAACUGGCGGGCUAGAGAGCAGGAGA